UGGGGAAUUUUGGACAAUGGGCGCAAGCCUGAUCCAGCCAUGCCGCGUGCAGGAUGAAGGCCCUCGGGUUGUAAACUGCUUUUGUACGGAACGAAAAGCCUCUUUCUAAUAAAGAGGGGUGAUGACGGUACCGUAAGAAUAAGCACCGGCUAACUACGUGCCAGCAGCCGCGGUAAUACGUAGGGUGCGAGCGUUAAUCGGAAUUACUGGGCGUAAAGCGUGCGCAGGCGGUCUUGCAAGACAGUGGUGAAGUCCCCGGGCUCAACCUGGGAACUGCCAUUGUGACUGCAAGGCUGGAGUACGGCAGAGGGGGAUGGAAUUCCGCGUGUAGCAGUGAAAUGCGUAGAUAUGCGGAGGAACACCGAUGGCGAAGGCAGUCCCCUGGGCCUGUACUGACGCUCAUGCACGAAAGCGUGGGGAGCAAACA
rnacentral:rRNA from 1 species